rnacentral:tRNA from 2 species
GCGGGGGUACCCAAGCGGUUAAGGGGAGCGCCUGCAGAGCGUUUAUUCGCCGGUUCAAAUCCGGCCCCCCGCU